rnacentral:rRNA from 1 species
UCGUACGACGAGUUUGAUCAUGGCUCAGGAUGAACGCUAGCGGGAGGCUUAACACAUGCAAGUCGAGGGGCAGCACGUCUUCGGAUGGUGGCGACCGGCGAACGGGUGCGUAACGCGUAUGCAACCUACCCUUAACAGGAGAAUAGCCCAGAGAAAUUUGGAUUAAUACUCCAUAGUAUUACGGAUUCGCAUGUUUCUGUAAUUAAAGUUCCAACGGUUAAGGAUGGGCAUGCGUGACAUUAGCUUGUUGGUGAGGUAACGGCUCACCAAGGCAACGAUGUCUAGGGGUUCUGAGAGGAUGAUCCCCCACACUGGUACUGAGACACGGACCAGACUCCUACGGGAGGCAGCAGUGAGGAAUAUUGGACAAUGGAGGAAACUCUGAUCCAGCCAUCCCGCGUGCAGGAAGAAGGCCCUAUGGGUUGUAAACUGCUUUUAUACAGGAAUAAACCCCUCUACGUGUAGAGGGCUGAAGGUACUGUAAGAAUAAGCACCGGCUAACUCCGUG